AUUGAACGCUGGCGGCAGGCUUAACACAUGCAAGUCGAGCGGAGUGAUGGUGCUUGCACUAUCACUUAGCGGCGGACGGGUGAGUAAUGCUUAGGAAUCUGCCUAUUGGUGGGGGACAACAUCUCGACAGGGAUGCUAAUACCGCAUACGUCCUACGGGAGAAAGCAGGGGAUCACUUGUGACCUUGCGCUACUAGAUGAGCCUAAGUCGGAUUAGCUAGUUGGUGGGGUAAAGGCCUACCAAGGCGACGAUCUGUAGCGGGUCUGAGAGGAUGAUCCGCCACACUGGGACUGAGACACGGCCCAGACUCCUACGGGAGGCAGCAGUGGGGAAUAUUGGACAAUGGGGGGAACCCUGAUCCAGCCAUGCCGCGUGUGUGAAGAAGGCCUUAUGGUUGUAAAGCACUUUAAGCGAGGAGGAGGCUUACCUAGUUAAUACCUGGGAUAAGUGGACGUUACUCGCAGAAUAAGCACCGGCUAACUCUGUGCCAGCCGCCGCGGUAA
rnacentral:rRNA from 1 species